GUGAAAGUCUUGCCUAUAAUUCCAGAACUAGAAAGACAGACGGAGGAGAUGAGUUCAAGGCCACGUUGGCUCUACACCUCAGUCACUGCUGGUGUCUUUGCUAGAGAUAACAGGAGUACCCUUUGUGGUGUGCAUCUGGCCAUUUGGGGAAGGAAAUUCGAAACAAAGAAUUGGACACUGAAGUACUAAGGGAAAAAAAAAAAAAAGAACAAGGAGGCGUCCUGCCAGAAGCUGCCACUCCCAGGAGAGGGGUGGAAACCUGGGUGUUCAGCAGCUGAGACUCUGACAUUGGAUGAGAUGCUGCUGCUCAGUCAAAUCCAGAGCCCUGGUGUUGAAUGGGAGCCAUGGGCCAUGGUACCCAGCAGACAUCGUCAGAGUGGGAACUGGAUGCCGGCCGUGCUGUAACAAGCCCUUGAAACUGCUGCCAAAAAUCAAUGGAGCCCACAAGAGGUCUAGAAGCAAGACAGACCAUGGCAUCUCUACCUUCAGUCCAUCCAUCUCUUUGAGGCCUAGGCUCCUGCUUGACUCUGCAGAGAUGCGUGAAGCAACGCAGUGUCUGUCUACCUGACCCAUCUCAUUCCUGUUAAAAGCUGAAGUUGGUACACUGGGAUGGGUUGCCAGAGCCCUGCCCUGAAGGGAUGCCAUGGGCUGUUUUGGUGUGAAGGGCACACUAAACUGGUGUAAACAACCAUGGGGACAAAGAACAGGAACCAGAGAAGAAGCACGUGAAAGGACUCUGUCGAUUUCAUCCAGCCUUCCCUUUAAACUCUACUCUUGUAUCUCAGAAAGGAGCUGGUUGGCAUUGGAGAAAUGCUCCAAUUUGCUCAGCCCCAAAGGCCAGGUAUGACUGGACCCCUGUACCCACGGGAUCAGUAUCUGUGAUCCAACCAACCAAGGUAAAAAAUAUUCAUGAUGUGGUGGUCCCUACUUUUAAUUCUAGCACUGGGGAGGAAGAGGCAGGCAGAUCUUUGUGAGUCUGAAGUCAGCCUAGUUUCCAUAGCAAGUUCCUGGCCAGCCAGGUCUAUAUAGUAAGACCCUGUCUAAAACAAACAGUUCAGGGAAUAAUGUUGUGCUUGUGUUGAAGAUGCUGCCUUUCUUUUUUUUAUUUUAAUUUUUAUUAUUAGUUACAUUUUAUUAACUCUGUAUCCCAGCUAUAUCCCACUCCCUCAUUCCCUCCCAAUCCCAUCCUCCCUCCCUCUUUCCAAGUCCACUGCUUGGGAGGACCUCCUCCCCUUUCAUCUGAUCUUAUUUUAUCAGGUAUCUUCAGGACUGGCUGCAAAGUCCUCCUCUGUGGACUAGCAGGGCUGCUCCUCCCUUGGGGGGUGGGGAGGCCAAAGAGCCUGACAUUGAGUUCCUGUCAGAAAUAGUCACUGUUUCUCUUACUAUGGAAAACCAAUUGGUUACUGAGCUACAACGAGCUAAAUUCGGAAGAGAUUCUAGGUUAUAUCCAUACAUGGUCCUUGGUGGAGUGUCAGUCUCAGAAAAGACCCCUGUGCCCAGAUAUAUUUGGUCCUUGUGGAGCUCCUAUCCUUUCCACGUCAUACUAACUCCCCCUUCUUUCAUAUAAUUCCCUGCACUCUGCCGAAGGUUUGGUUAUGAGUCUUAGUAUCUGCUUUGAUACACUGCUAGGUAGAGUCUUUCAGGGGCCCUCUGUGGCAGGCUCCUGUCCUGUUACUUAUUUUCUCCUACAUACAAUGCACAUCCCAUUUUGUCUAAGUAAGGAUUGAUCAUCUUACCCUGUGUCCUCUUUCUAAUUUAUCUUUUUUAGGUGUAUAGAUUUCAUUAUGUUUAUUAUAUCUCAUAGGUCUAUAUAAGUGAGUAUAUACCAUCUGUGUCUUUCUCCUUCUGGGAUACUUCACUCAGAAUGAUCUUUUUUUUUUUUCUUUCUUUUUUUAAAGAAGGGCAAAUUUAUUCAUCAUUUGUUUAAAGGCCAGUGAAAGAAAUGAAUGCAAAUUCUUUUUCUUUUUUUCAGAAUGAUCUUUUCUAGACCCCACCAUUUGCCUGCAAAUUUCAUGAUUUCCUUGUUUAUGAUUGCUGAGUAGUAUUCCAAUGCGUAAAAAUACCACUAUUUCUGUAUCCAUUCCUCCGUUGAUGGACAUCUGGGUUGUUUCUAGG